CCUGCGGAGGGAUCAUUACCGAGUUUACAACUCCCAAACCCCUGUGAACAUACCACUUGUUGCCUCGGCGGAUCAGCCCGCUCCCGGUAAAACGGGACGGCCCGCCAGAGGACCCCUAAACUCUGUUUCUAUAUGUAACUUCUGAGUAAAACCAUAAAUAAAUCAAAACUUUCAACAACGGAUCUCUUGGUUCUGGCAUCGAUGAAGAACGCAGCAAAAUGCGAUAAGUAAUGUGAAUUGCAGAAUUCAGUGAAUCAUCGAAUCUUUGAACGCACAUUGCGCCCGCCAGUAUUCUGGCGGGCAUGCCUGUUCGAGCGUCAUUUCAACCCUCAAGCACAGCUUGGUGUUGGGACUCGCGUUAAUUCGCGUUCCCCAAAUUGAUUGGCGGUCACGUCGAGCUUCCAUAGCGUAGUAGUAAAACCCUCGUUACUGGUAAUCGUCGCGGCCACGCCGUUAAACCCCAACUUCUGAAUGUUGACC
rnacentral:rRNA from 1 species